CUUAGCAUAUCAAUAAGCGGAGGAAAAGAAACCAACAGGGAUUGCCCCAGUAACGGCGAGUGAAGCGGCAAUAGCUCAAAUUUGAAAUCUGGCUCUUUCAGGGUCCGAGUUGUAAUUUGCAGAGGGCGCUUUGGUGUCGGCAGCGGCCUAAGUUCCUUGGAACAGGUCAUCAUAGAGGGUGAGAAUCCCGUAUGUGGCUGCUUGUCUUCACCGUGUAAAGCCCCUUCGAUGAGUCGAGUUGUUUGGGAAUGCAGCUCUAAAUGGGAGGUAAAUUUCUUCUAAAGCUAAAUAUUGGCCAGAGACCGAUAGCGCACAAGUAGAGUGAUCGAAAGAUGAAAAGCACUUUGGAAAGAGAGUCAAAAAGCACGUGAAAUUGUUGAAAGGGAAGCGCUUGCAGCCAGACGUGCCCGUAGUUGCUCAUCUGGGGAUUUCCCCAGUGCACUCUUCUAUGGGCAGGCCAGCAUCAGUUCGGGCGGUUGGAGAAAGACCUGUGUCACGUAGCUCUCUUCGGGGAGUGUUAUAGGGCAGGUGGAAUGCAACCAGCCUGGACUGAGGUCCGCGCAUCUUGCUAGGAUGCUGGCGUAAUGGCUGUAAGCGGCCCGUCUUGAAACACGGACCAAGGAGUCUAACAUCUAUGCGAGUGUUUGGGUGUCAAGCCCGAGCGCGUAAUGAAAGUGAACGGAGGUGGGAACCCCUCGGGGUGCACCAUCGACCGAUCCUGAUGUCUUCGGAUGGAUUUGAGUAAGAGCAUAGCUGUUGGGACCCGAAAGAUGGUGAACUAUGCCUGAAUAGGGUGAAGCCAGAGGAAACUCUGGUGGAGGCUCGCAGCGGUUCUGACGUGCAAAUCGAUCGUCAAAUUUGGGCAUAGGGGCGAAAGACUAAUCGAACUAUCUAGUAGCUGGUUCCUGCCG
rnacentral:rRNA from 1 species